rnacentral:rRNA from 1 species
AUUGAACGCUGGCGGCAUGCCUUACACAUGCAAGUCGAACGGUAACAGGUCUUCGGAUGCUGACGAGUGGCGAACGGGUGAGUAAUACAUCGGAACGUGCCUAGUAGUGGGGGAUAACUACUCGAAAGAGUGGCUAAUACCGCAUGAGAUCUACGGAUGAAAGCAGGGGAUCGCAAGACCUUGUGCUACUAGAGCGGCCGAUGGCAGAUUAGGUAGUUGGUGGGAUAAAGCUUACCAAGCCGACGAUCUGUAGCUGGUCUGAGAGGACGAUCAGCCACACUGGGACUGAGACACGGCCCAGACUCCUACGGGAGGCAGCAGUGGGGAAUUUUGGACAAUGGGCGCAAGCCUGAUCCAGCAAUGCCGCGUGCAGGAUGAAGGCCUUCGGGUUGUAAACUGCUUUUGUACGGAACGAAAAGCCCUGGGUUAAUACCCUGGGGUCAUGACGGUACCGUAAGAAUAAGCACCGACUAACUACGUGCCAGCCGCCGCCGUAA